rnacentral:rRNA from 1 species
UCGAACGAGACUCUUCGGGGUCUAGUGGCGCACGGGUGCGUAACGCGUGGGAAUCUGCCCUUGGGUUCGGAAUAACAGUUGGAAACGACUGCUAAUACCGGAUGAUGUCGAUAAGACCAAAGAUUUAUCGCCUGAGGAUGAGCCCGCGUUGGAUUAGCUAGUUGGUGGGGUAAAGGCCUACCAAGGCGACGAUCCAUAGCUGGUCUGAGAGGAUGAUCAGCCACACUGGGACUGAGACACGGCCCAG